UAACAAAAGCCCUACGCUGUAACUAUAAAAGCGCGAACCCUCGAGCGAUCGUCUUCACUUGCGAUAGACGUUCACUCGAGAGGUUUAUACAUUCAUGUACUAAACAAUCCACGCU